CCUACGGGAGGCAGCAGUGGGGAAUAUUGGGCAAUGGGCGAAAGCCUGACCCAGCAACGCCGCGUGAAGGAAGAAGGCUUUCGGGUUGUAAACUUCUUUUGACAGGGAAGAGCAGAAGACGGUACCUGUCGAAUAAGCCACGGCUAACUACGCGCCAGCAGCCGCGGUAAUACGUAGGUGGCAAGCGUUGUCCGGAUUUACUGGGUAGAAAGGGCGUGUAGCCGGGAUGGCAAGUCAGAUGUGAAAUCCGGGCGCUCAACCCCCGAACUGCAUUUGAAACUGUUGGUCUUGAGUGUCGGAGAGGACGGCGGAAUUCCUGGUGUAGCGGUGAAAUGCGUAGAUAUUAGGAGGAACACCAGUGGCGAAGGCGGCCUGCUGGACGACAACUGACGGUGAGGCGCGAAAGCGUGGGGAGCAAACAGGAUUAGAUACCCCAGUAGUC
rnacentral:rRNA from 1 species